AACCCACUUUUAUAUGAAAUAGCCGAGAAUGGGCAACCCAUUCUAAAAAUUACCCGACCCGCCAUUUCUAUUAUUACAGAUAAAAAAUGUAUAGGUUUCCUAAACUAAUUCUCAUUCUUCUCCGCCGCAAAUCUGGUUACUUCAGCUAAGAAAAGCUUCUGUGGAUUAUCAACUUCACAUCUGUUACCAUUAGCUCUCAAAUAUUGGUGUGUUCUUCGAUGGAUGAGAUGAAGCUACUCAUUUUGUUUUGUAUUGAUGGAAUCAAGACCUUGGAUGUUAUCUGAGAUCUGUGUCCUAGCUUGAGUGCGCCUCAGCUUGAUUGACUCAGGCGAUUGUUGGAGCUUCCAAGGUAGAUAUUGGACAUUAAUGCAUCCGAAGUUCACCUUUAUCUUUCUAUGGUAGUUAUGUCUUUAAUAGUAUUCAGAGACAAAUAUUAUUCCUUUGUGGUUAUUUUUUCGAUGUAUUUGACUCUUGGAUUGUAUUAGUAGUUCUUACACUAUUAACACCUGGUUUUGGGCA